rnacentral:rRNA from 1 species
CUACGGGUCUCAGCAGUGGGGAAUAUUGGACAAUGGGCGAAAGCCUGAUCCAGCCAUGCCGCGUGUGUGAAGAAGGCCUUCGGGUUGUAAAGCACUUUCAGUGGGGAAGAAAGCCUUGGGGCUAAUACCCUCGAGGAAGGACAUCACCCACAGAAGAAGCACCGGCUAACUCCGUGCCAGCAGCCGCGGUAAUACGGAGGGUGCGAGCGUUAAUCGGAAUUACUGGGCGUAAAGCGCGCGUAGGCGGUCUGAUAAGCCGGUUGUGAAAGCCCCGGGCUCAACCUGGGAACGGCAUCCGGAACUGUCAGGCUAGAGUGCAGGAGAGGAAGGUAGAAUUCCCGGUGUAGCGGUGAAAUGCGUAGAGAUCGGGAGGAAUACCAGUGGCGAAGGCGGCCUUCUGGACUGACACUGACGCUGAGGUGCGAAAGCGUGGGUAGCAAACAGGAUUAGAUACCCUUGUAGUC